UGUUACCAGUAAACUUUUGUGUUGUAGCCUGUGAUUCACAGCACACACCGGUGAGAUGGUGAAAAAACUAUGCUGCAGGCUUUUGCUUUUAGGUCUCUUAUAUUUCUCAGUAUAUUUCUGGUACUCAAAUGUUACUGAAUCGAGUAGGAAUGCUUUGCUGUCCAGUUUGAAGGAUAACCAAACUGAAGAUGGAUUAAUAAAAUCAGGAGUCUAUUAUAGAGUUAUCCGCUUGCAGUCACUUCAGAAAAGAACAAAUAAUGAAAGAAAAUAAAACUACAGAGACCAAAACCCACUAAACCCCCUUUGUGACCGAGGAAUUCAAGAAAUGCCCAGAUCCCUCUCCACUUCUUGUGGGGCCUCUCAGGGUGGAGUUCUCUACGCCUGUCAGCUUGGACACAGUGAGGAAGGAGAACCCAGGUCUGCAGGGAGGAGGUCGCUACAAACCACAUGACUGCAUCGCCCUCCAGAAGGUUGCUCUCAACAUCCCCUUCCGCCAUCGUGAAGAGCACUUCAAGUUCUGACUCCACUACCUCCAUCCUGUCUUACAGCGCCAACAGCUGAACUAUGGCAUCUAUGUUAUCAAUGAGGAUGGAGAGAACAUGUUCAACAGGGCCAAGCUGGUGAACAUUGGCUAUGCUGAGGCCCUGAAAGAGUAUGACUACGACUGCUUUGUGUUCAGUGACGUGGACAUCAUCCCCGUGGAUGACCGCAACCCCUACAAAUGCUUCAGCCAGCCCAGACACCUGUCUGUCUCCAUGGACAAGUUUGGCUUCAAGUACGCGUGAUGUCCUAUUGCAGUGCCACAGUACGAUGUCGACCUCGAAAGAUAACCUUUAUUUUUGAGUGAACUAUCACUUUAAAGGAUUAAAUGCUGACCCAGGGGUUGUUAAUGUUUCCUCAUACCUACUGUAUUACCCAGGGGGGGGAAAGGACUCUAAGGGCUCGAUGCAAUCUGUAUCGCUGAAGCGGUAGAGAUUACGCCACUUAAAUGUGAAAGUAUUUCCCGAUGGAACCGACAUAUGCAGCGUUUCCCCGGGAAUGCAGUCUCCACUAACACAGGAACAUUGCUAUUAAAUGUAACUCUGGCUACAACGCAGAACUUUAGCGCUACGGAUUGAAUAGAUCCCUAACACUUCUUCAAUUCCCACCAUCGGAGGCCACAGCACGACAGAACAGGAAACUAUAAUAUGUCAUAAUAUAUAUUUGACAUUUAGCAAACACUUUUAUCCAAAGUGACAUGCAUGCAUUUUUGUUGGCCCCGGGAAUCCAACCCACUAUUCUGACAUUGCAAGCUCCGUGAUUCACUCACGAAGCUGCAGUGGACCCCCAAGGGAGAGCCCGUCAUGUCCAACGCCUCAACCACGUGGCUAUCACAGCUGCUCGCAUAUCUAGCAUAUCUGUUUUUUCUGAUUGAGCAUAUCGAUUUUUUGAUUGUCUUCUUCUCAUCCAUAGUUUACCCAAUAAUCAGUUCUUUGGUGGUGUCUCAUCGUUGAGUAAGGAGCAGCGUCAUUGUCACGCCCUGACCUUAGUUAUCUUUGUUUUCUUUAUUAUUUUGGUUAGGUCAGGGUGUGACAAGGGUGGUUUGUUUAGUUUUUGUAUUGUCUAGGGGUUUUCUAGUCUAGGUGUUUAUAUGUCUAUGGUUGCCUAGAUUGGUUCUCAAUCAGAGGCAGCUGUUUAUUGUUGUUUCUGAUUGGGAACCAUAUUUAGGUAGCCAUACUCCUCGGUUAUUUUGUGGGUUGUUAUUCUAUGUUUAGUUGCCUGUUCUGCACUAGCCAUAUUGCUUCAUGGUUAGUUUUGUUCAGUGUUCGUUCUUCUAUUAAAUAAGUAUGUUCGCUUACCGCAAUGCGCCUUGGUCUCCACUUUAUGACGACCGUGACAGUCAUGAAAUUCAACGGCUUUCCGAGCAGCUACUGGGGCUGGGGUGGUGAAGAUGAUGACAUUUUCAACAGGGUGAAUAACAGAGGAAUGUCCAUCCCUCGUCCGGACGGCGUAGUCGGAAAAUGCCGGAAUGAUCCAUCACGAAAGAGACAAAAAUAACAACGACAAUCCUCAGAGGUUCAAGAGAAUAGAUCAUUACGUUAAAGACGAUGGAUACUGAUGGCCUCCACUCUCUCGAGUAUGAAGUUGUCGCAGUUGAAAAGCAUGACCUGUUCACAAAGACUACAGUUGUUGUGAGGAUGACACCCAAAGAUAAAGAAGACAUGGACAAAGGAUGAAUGAGGAAGAGAUGAACUAGCAGGGCCGGAUCUUGGGCCUGACUAAUCAGUGUCUGUAUGUAGCCUCGCUACUUUUAUAGCCUCGCUACUGUUUCUCUGUCUUUUUACUGUUUUUAUUUCUUUAUUUAUCUAUUGUUCACCUAAUACCUUUUUUAUGCACUCUUGGUUAGAGCCUGUAAGUAAGCAUUUCGCUAUAAGGUCAACUACACCUGUUGUAUUCGGCGCAUGUGACAAAUAAUCAACUUUGAUUUGAAUGUGCUGUUUGCUCAUGUUAUUCUACACAUUUUGCCAUGAUGCUGAGAGAAUGUUUCAGAUUUAAAGUUAUUUUCUGGCAAUUCUACAUAUUUGUCCAUGGCUUAUGACAUGUUUAAUAUGCUGUCUGGGGGGCCGCUGACCUCCAGUGGGCUCUCUGGGGGUUGGGGUCCCCGGGGCGCGUGCCCGUUUGUAAAUCCGGCCCUGUGAAGAAGGCAGGAACCACCUGGAAUGAGGUCAAGGAAACUGCCCAGAACAGAGUUAACUGGAGCUGCACCAUUGAGGUCCUUUGUUCCACUAGGAGCUGAAAGAAGUCAAGUAAGUGAAGUCAAGGGGAGGCCUGUGUCAAUAGAGUAUGUAAACGUCUGUCACCUGUGCGUACAGUACGAGAGGUGCUGAGUAAAGAGGGCAGCAGCGCACAAUCUAUUGCAUUAACCAAUAACCUAUUGCAGAGGCUGCAGCGGUUAUAAUGCAACACUGUAGAAACGUAACAUCUACUGACUGACUUAGUAUGAAUCUUUGAGGUGUCAUGAUGUCCACCUACUAAUUGGCCCGUUUGUCCUUCAAGCUGCCUGAUUGGCAGAGCUUUGUGCAGUACUGCUUUCACCGUAAUCCUAAUGCAAGUUUCCAACUCUGAAAUAACCCCCCUCCAAGCUCCAAUUACAAAUGGGGAAAGUCUGAGGUGAUUUUGAUACCCACGUUUACGAGUUGUGACAUUUCAGCUCUGAUCAUUCACCUUUUCAAGGAGCAUUUGAAGGCAGCUUUACUUUUGUUUUACAAAUACUGUAUUUUUGCUCUACACUAGUGUACAUCAAGCAAGGGCUAUGGAAUGUAAAGUUUUCAGAGAUGCUUUUUGAUAUGGUUGUUGAUCGAAUGUGUUGCCUUUCCUCCUUUGUUAUUUGCUCUUUUCUCUGUGAAAAUCGGAACUUUCGUUUUGUUAAUGGGUUAUUAUAGUGUGGCUACCGUGUGAGUCAUUGGGAAACUCCAACAAACAAUUAGAAAAUGUUCAACAUUUCAAAAUAAAUACAUAUGAUGAUGAU